UUUAUUCAUGUUUGUUUACUUUAGAACUAAAAUUCCUCAUAAUUUAUAAUAACAAUUAAACUUCGGAAUAACAUUUUCUCAUGUCUAAACACCAUCUAAUUAUAAUUGGCAGUUAUGCAAACACUAACGCCCGCCGGAUUACCUUGCAUCAAGCAGGUUUCUAUUAUUUUUUCGAUGUCUGAAGAUAUAUUUAAACCGUUAAAAUUUCUAAAUUUAUUACAUAGAUUCCGACACGCAAAAUGAACAGUUUUGUGUUUUGUUUAUUAAUCGUAGUGGCUCUUGGUAGCUGCCUUAAACUUCCUUCCAGUUUCAAGAAAUGCGAUCGAAAGAGAACCGAUUUCAACCAAUGUUUAAGUGAAGCUAUCUAUGGUGCCCUUAGAAUUCUAAAGAAACAUUUGCCUUCUCAUGGUUUACCAAGUUUGUUCGAUGUCGAAUUUCCAGACCUUGUGGCUACAUUUGGAAAUUGUACCUACGGGCUGCUACAGAAAUAUGAUCAAUUUAGGUUAAUCGGUCUAUCCCAACCAGAGAAUAUAGACGCUAAAUUAGAUUUCGGUCCUUUGACUAGUACUUUGACCAUAGCAGCUACUUAUCCUCAGCUUACGCUAGAAAUUGAAUGUGAGGCUAAAGGUACUAUUGUUGUCUUACCGGUAAAUGUCAUAACACCUGUCGCAAAUAUUAUUGAUCACCCAACUUUCACUUUUACAUUUGAACUGGAAGAGUACGAAAAAGGUACUACUUACUUUCGAAUAAUCGAUUCCAAACUAGACAUGCAAGUAGAGGGCAUUAAAUUCGGCUUCGAACAACUCUUUUCCGACAAAGUUCUGAACGAAAAGUUCAAUUCUGCUAUGAGUGCAAAAUGGCGAUUAGUUUUUGCUAUUUUUAAAAGCUUUGAAGCGAUUUUCGCUCCACGGUUUGGUUCAAUCUUUAACACUUUACUUAAAAAAGUUCCUGUUGCUGAACUUUUUGAUUGAGAUGUUUUGUUUAAACAUUGUUACAUUUGCAUAAAUUGCAGUCUAGAAUAAUAAAAUCUUGUACGUUAUUGUUUUAUUUGUCUUCACAUAUAUUAUAUAACAACAGAUAUACAUAAUAAUAAGUGAACAUUUACAUAACCACUUCUUUAGUGAGGAGGUUGUGCUAUUUUUAGAUCAUGUUGUCCAAAACAUACAAAGUUAUUUUA